UACGUAGGUGGCAAGCGUUGUCCGGAUUUACUGGGUGUAAAGGGCGUGCAGCCGGAGAGACAAGUCAGAUGUGAAAUCCACGGGCUCAACCCGUGAACUGCAUUUGAAACUGUUUCCCUUGAGUGUCAGAGAGGUAAUCGGAAUUCCUUGUGUAGCGGUGAAAUGCGUAGAUAUAAGGAAGAACACCAGUGGCGAAGGCGGAUUACUGGACGAUAACUGACGGUGAGGCGCGAAAGCGUGGGGAGCAAACAGG
rnacentral:rRNA from 1 species